UCUUUUAAAAAAAAAAUAAAAGAAACGGACACUAUCUCUCCUUCAGAAUCAGUGUAUAAAAUCCCAGGGAAGGACUCUGAUUGCCCUGACAUAGGUCACAUGCUUCUCCUGGGCCAGUCUUUGUAGGCAGAAUGAUAGGAUAGAAGGAUUGGCCGGGCCUGGGUCAUAUAUCUUUUCUAGUGGCCUGCUGCCUCCCAGGCAUCCAGGGGCGGGAAGGAGUAUGACAAGCCUUAGAGGACAGGAAUGAGCAAGUCAGGAAUUAAAGCUAUGCUGUCUUCUGGAUCUAUCUGAUAUUUCAUAUCUGCUUCUUUUCGUCCACUUCCUCAUUCUCCUGUUUUCCUUUGAUGAUGAGCUGCUGCUGCUUUUUUUUUUUUUUUCCUUUCUCAGUGUCUACCAUGGCUCAAAAUGGCUGCCUCAGCCCCAAACAUUAGUGACUUUUAGGAGCCUAAUACCCUCUGUGGCUGAGUUCAGAUUUUCAAGGAAGAGAGAAUCUGAUUGGUUGCAGGGAUAGGUGUUCACUACGGGACCAUUCCGCUGUGGUGAACAUGCAGUGCGGACAUGGCCUCUGAGGUCUCCCCCUUGAACAGGCCUGGUAGGAGCAGUUCCUUAGAGAAGGGAGCUGCGGGUGGGGCAGGCAUUUUGGACCAACAUGUUGUACUAGUCCCAGGUAACCCAGGGAAGGGCAGAGCAUGGCACCCUCCUUGUCCUCCAGUAGCUUCAAGUCGAGCUGGGCAGGAAAGAUGCUCAUUUGGGCCAGGGCUCAUAGGCCCUUGGAGAAAAGCAAGGUCAUCAUGGGCCAUGGCAGGCAGAACAAACUUGUCCUGGAGGUGGUGAGAACAGAGCUGGCUUUGUCAGGUGGGCAGAAAGGAAAGGACGAGAUACUCCAGAGCACGGAGCAGAUGUUCUCUUCCUCACACCUGAGCUGACUCACUUAAACCAAUACACAAAUGCAUCUGAGGUGUCACGAUUGAACUUUUCCUCAAAGCAAGGGCUCUAAAGAGGAAGCUUCUACGUGCCUUUCUAUCUCCUCCCCCAGGUUCCCGCCAGACUCCUUAUAACACCCUCCACCCCAGGAUGCCCAGGAAGUGAUCCUCCCCCCUCCGCCACUCACCAUCUCUGGACAUGUGUGUGGAGGCUGCAGGGAGUUUUCCGUGACUUUUUGGAAAGUCAAGGAAUGUCUGUCUCCAAAAGCCAAGGAAGGAAGGCAGGAAAGGAGGGAAGGAGGGAGUAAGUAAGUAAGUUUGGUUCAAGAAUAAAAAGAGGAAUAUUAACUGUUUGCAUCUGGAGAAGGUAAAGAAACUCUAAGGUAGGGACUUCCGUUCCCUUAUUGUGGAUGAAGAGAGGUCCAGGGCAAUUCCGGCCUUGCUCAGGUUCCCAUGGUGGGAUCAGAACCCUGGCUUCUCACUGCCCUGGCUGGCCGAGAGCUCUUUCCAUGAGCCCUUGCUGGCCUGCUGGCCUGGCUGGGAUAAUGGGGGGUGAGGGAGGCAUGGGGAAAUGCCUCCCCAUCACAAAGUGGGAGUAGAGGCUCAGCCCAGGAAAGUGUGGCCAAAACUCAGUUCUCCUGGGAGCCCCAAGGGAUCCAGAAAGUGACUAAGAGGUCACCAGCGGCUCCUCUGGGAACUGGGCUAAAGUCCCUCCAAUAGGCUUUAUCUGGGCAGAUUCCAUUUCCUGUUGGAGGAAAAGGAAGAGAUCUUUGUGUUUCUCUGCUGCUUUCCCCUUUCAGGCAGAUCAGAAACCAGAUGGAGUCAGAUAAACCCAGUGGAGAAGAAAGAGGCCCUGGCUGGCUGGGAAGAGAAGGGUCCCUUUCCCAAGUCACGCAGGAAGACACCCAGAGAGACCCUUCCCCUGCAGAAGAGGGAGAAGGGGUUCAAAUGGGUCUCCCCUUAGACUUGUAAUAAUAGUAUUUCCAAAUGAGGUUGUCCCUACAGUGACUGCGUUAUUAUUUUGCAUCUGGUUGAGAGCGACAGAUUGUUAACCAUGAACUUAAGGACUUGACACUCCUUCACAGUUUCAGCAAGCACCGGGGACCCAGCUGAACUGGCAGAGCACUUCAAAGGCCUGCGGGUCAUUCAUCAUCCCCAUGACGCUCCGGCAAAUGCUCAGCUUCAGCUCCGCGCCAGGGAUUUGUUAUGACUUGCGAGCCGGCUGACAGACAGGACGGUGGCGGCCGCGGGAGGGGGACGCGCGGGAGGGAGGCUCGCAGCCCUUUUGUCACUCCGGGGGAGAGGCAGCGCCCAGCGCCCGGAGUCGGGGCGGGGUGGCAGGUGGGGGGCCGGGGUGGGGGGCAGAAGGUGCAGCCUGGUCGGGAGUCACCCGCGGGGGCGGACCAGGGGUGCACGGGAGGGCUGGGGUCCCAGCCGCCCCCCCCCCCCCCCGCCCCAGGCUGUCCCCGCAGGCCCAGCGAGCGCCCUCGCCCCUCCCGUCCCACUCUCCUCCUCUCGGCGGGCGGCUGCGUCUCCGAAAGUUGCUCUGAAAACCCAGAGGUUGGGGAAAAAAGGGAAACUUGCAACCGGCCCGGCCGGGGCCGGGAGGGGUGGAGUUGGGGGGGGAGGGGAGGGGAGGGGAGAGCAGCAGAAUAUCGGAGCUUUGUUUCCUUUCCCAGGCCGUGACAUGAUUAAUCGUUUUCUUCUGAUCUAAUUUUGGAACAUGAAAAACAGCACAUUUGUCUUGAAGAAAAAUGAUGUGCCGAACUGCGCAGAUGGAAAUUUCGAGCAAUGAGAAAGAUUAAAGUGAAACCCCACUCCUUAGACCUAAUCAUGAGUUGUAGAUUAUUCUGUCGGCCCAGCCAGAUGGUAGCUCUGAUUCCACAGCCCCUUCUUAUAUUAAUGAAUACUAGACUGUUAUAUUUGACUUAGGAGUCAGUUCAGAUGUCUUGGCUGUGAAGAGAUGACCCUUUUCCAUCGACUCCCAGCGUACUUCUCCAGCCUCAUCUCUCACCUCUCCUUCACUAUGAACCCUGCACUUCUGCCACAGGAGCCUUCUCGGGGCUCUGAAGAAUGCUAGGCUCUUUCACAACAAUGUAUUUGUGUCUGUGUUUGUCUGUCUCACUCCCUUCCAUUCUUUAUCUGGCAAACUCCUAUUCAUCCUUCAAGACCCAAAGCCCAUGUGUCCUCCUCUGCCCCUUUCCUCACAUUCCUCUGGGCAUUAUUUAAUACUCUGGGCUUCCAUCACAUUUUGUCCAUAUCCCUGUGGAUAUAUGGGCUGGGUUGCAUUGAAAAAUGCAUGUUUUUGUAAACACACUUCUACAUUUCCUUUCCUUUCCAACUAUUUGUGCGUUUAUCCGUUUGUUCAUGCAUCCGAGUAGUGCGUCUUGAGAACCUACUGUAUUGCCAGGUGUUGUUUCAGGCCCUAGGGAUUCAGCCCGGUACAAAAUUCUCAGCCCUCUCAGAGGUGCCAUUUUGGUAUUAUCUGUGUGGGGCUGUUAGUGAGGCUUCUUUGCAGGAAGAAAUAGAAAUUAAUUUAGGCCAGCUCUCAUAGUGGGGGUUACUGUAAAAUAGUGGCAAUAAAGGAGCGAAAAUCUCAUGGAGACCCAAGAACAACUGGAUGGCUUCUGAACAACCUCUCAGCUUCUAUAACUCAUUAUUGGGUCACUCAUGGCUCCUCCCAGGCCUUACUGCCAUUUAAAAAACUUUGUAUUGUGGUAUACACGCAGAAAACUGCACAGAAGGGGCACCUGGGUGGCUCAAUCGCUAAAUGUCUGAACUUCUGCUCAGGUCAUG